rnacentral:rRNA from 1 species
GACGAACGCUGGCGGCGUGCCUAAUACAUGCAAGUCGAACGCAGUGGGGACUGGUGAGUAACACGUGGGUAACCUCCCAUCAGAGGGGAUAACACUUGUUAACAGGUGCUAAACCGAUACUGAUGGAUGGACCCGCGCGGCAUUAGCUAGUUGGUGAGGUAACGGCUCUCCAAAGCCACGAUGCAGAGCCGACCUGAGAGGGUGAUCGGCCAAAAUGGGACGGGGACACGGCCCAGACUCCUACGGGGGGCAGCAGUAGGGAAUCUUAGGCAAUGGGCGAAAGUCUGACCGAGCGACGCCGCGUGAGUGAAAGAGGUGUUCGGAUCGUAAAACUCUGUUGUUAGAGAAGCGGUAGCUAACCAGAAAGCCACGGCUAACUACGUGCCAGCAGCCGCGGUAAUUC